rnacentral:rRNA from 1 species
UGCCAGCCGCCGCGGUAAUACGGAGGUGGCAAGCGUUGUUCGGAAUUACUGGGCGUAAAGGGCGCGUAGGCGGCAUGGCAAGUCAGAUGUGAAAGCCCCGAGCUUAACUCGGGAAUUGCAUCUGAAACUGCUUUGCUUGAGUCCUGGAGGGGGUAGUGGAAUUCCCAGUGUAGCGGUGAAAUGCGUAGAUAUUGGGAGGAACACCUGCGGCGAAGGCGGCUACCUGGACAGUGACUGACGCUGAGGCGCGAAAGCUAGGGGAGCGAACGGGAUUAGAUA